UACGUAGGGUGCAAGCGUUAAUCGGAAUUACUGGGCGUAAAGCGUGCGCAGGCGGUUCGCUAAGACAGAUGUGAAAUCCCCGGGCUUAACCUGGGAACUGCAUUUGUGACUGGCGGGCUAGAGUAUGGCAGAGGGGGGUAGAAUUCCACGUGUAGCAGUGAAAUGCGUAGAGAUGUGGAGGAAUACCGAUGGCGAAGGCAGCCCCCUGGGUCGACACUGACGCUCAGGCACGAAAGCGUGGGGAGCAAACAGGAU
rnacentral:rRNA from 1 species